AUACUAAUUAGUGUUACUUCGCUUGAAUACAUACAGUUCUGUCUCUUUAUAAGCUGGCAGAUACCAAAUGUCUUCGUUGGAUCGGUUGGUACGACGGAUACAUGAUGAAUACUGUUGUUUUCGUUUGCCUGAUGAAAAAGUCAAAGACAUUGAAGACAUGGUGGUCAGCCUUGUCAAAUAUAAACUUCCGGUUCUGUUGCAGCAUCAUUCCAGAUAUCGAUACUCAAUAGCGGAAGUAGUCGACGCCGGAAGCUAUUUUGAGCAGACAAAAAUAGAACUGCCUAAUGAAUUUGAUUUCAUGCUAGUUGUGGAGCAAUUGUCUCGAGAAAAUUCUAUUUUUAUUUCACAAGGAUGCAAACCAGGACACGCGCAUGUGGUGGUGCAGGAACCGGAACUUUGGGAUACAGCAAGAUCUGGAGACAGUCCGGAACAUCAAUUUGAAAUAGCUCUACUGCAGUUCAACAUGCACGUUAGGGAGACACUGAAACUGCUGCUCUCGGAACCCCUGAAAGGAAGAUUCGGACAGCUUCAGAUGAAAGGAGUAACCGUGCGGGGAAAACCUUUCAAAGCCUUCUCACAUGUACAGACAUUAACAUUAAAAUGGACUGAAAUAACUGUCAGACAACCCUAUACAACAGUCUUGUAUAAACGCAGGCCUUCUCGGCAAGAGGAGAUAGAAGUGUGUGUGGACUUAAUGGCUUGUUGCCAUCUUCCAUUGCCUGCGUUUAUUGACAUACUACCAGACAAGUGUCUCCAAAAUGAAGGUUUAAUUAAAAAUGGAUGUCACAUAGUUCUGAAGUCUUGCGAGUCAUUCUCUUGCAUGGAUAGUCAGAGAAAAUGCCGGCUGAUUUCUUACACGAAGACUGAACAGGAGUGUAUGAAGAGGUUGCACGUGACUUGGAAGGUGGCAUACCGGACGCUGAAGUGGCUCUUCCGGUACACGGAAGUUCUAGAAGUCGACACGUACAAAAUUAAGACAGCGGUGCUUUAUUGUAGCUCUAAGCAGCGCGGUUCCGGACAUUUGGCUGUAGGGGAAGCACUGAUUCAGAUCCUACAGGUCCUUAAAGACAGCGCGCAUAGCAACCAACUACCCGGAUAUUUCAACGAGUCGCUAAACGUUUGGACCGUCAGCCCAAGUUAUCAAUACUUAGUCAAGUACGAAAUGAUCUUUCUGUUAAAACUCUUUAAAAACAUCCGUAGAGAUCCAAAUGGACAAUGUGCAGACGUUUCACGGAAUUUAGAAGUCGUCCAUUUGUGGAUUCACUCUUUCUGUUCCCACGCGGCGGAAAUCUCGCGUAUGAACGAUGCUAGACUAAGUCCUCUGGAGAGGUUCAACGGCCAGGGUAAUAAAUUCCUGGACGUCAUGAGAGACAUGGAACCUACGCUAAAGACCCACAGGGCGCUGGCCUGGAUUCCGUUUCAAAUGAAAUGCUGCGUUUUGUUUGAUGUUUUUAAAGUUUUAUUUCCAUUAUUUGUCCAGAAAACGCUGCCUUUUUUCUGCCUUGGUUCUGCAAUCUUUAUGACUUGUUAUGUAUUCCCAUUUUGGUAAAAAACAUAAAGGAAUAAGAUGUU
rnacentral:misc_RNA from 1 species